GUGAGGAAUAUUGCGCAAUGGAGGCAACUCUGACGCAGCCAUGCCGCGUGCAGGAAGAAGGCGCUACGCGUUGUAAACUGCUUUUAACCGGGAAGAAACCCCAGGACGUGUCCUGGGUUGACGGUACCGGAGGAAUAAGCACCGGCUAACUUCGUGCCAGCAGCCGCGGUAAUACGAAGGGUGCAAGCGUUAUCCGGAUUCAUUGGGUUUAAAGGGUGCGUAGGCGGAGCGUUAAGUCAGAGGUGAAAUCCUGCAGCUUAACUGUAGACUUGCCAUUGAUACUGGCGCUCUUGAGUGCGCUUGAAGUGGGCGGAAUGUGCCGUGUAGCGGUGAAAUGCUUAGAUAUGGCACAGAACACCAAUUGCGAAGGCAGCUCACUAAGGCGAUACUGACGCUGAGGCACGAAAGCGUGGGGAUCGAACAGGAUUAGAAACCCUUGUAGUCC
rnacentral:rRNA from 1 species